rnacentral:rRNA from 1 species
CAAGGUGGUUAUUGCGGCGGGGCUCACCUCUUCCCAUCCCGAACAGAGAAGUUAAGCCCGCCUGCGCAGAUGGUACUGCAAUCCUGUGGGAGAGUAUGUCGCCGCCUUCCUUUGAAAGAGUCCUUACAUAUCGUAGGGACUCUUUUUUUUGCAUA